GCAGGGCCUAUUUAAUGCACCUGUGGCAUGAAGGCUGCCUCUCUCUCCCUUUGUCUGUGCCUGGUUUCUGCCACAUGGUCAUGUCUGAGGUUCCUUUCCUGUACUGAUGGCUGGUCGUUUUGAUGUCCACGAACAUUGAGUUGAGCGGUGAACUGUGCGGAACGGGUUAAAGGACAUCUGGGCAAUUGCUGUACCGGCCAAGACAAUCGGCUGCUGUUUUGUCUUUAGUGCUGUUUUGUUUUGUUUUUGUGCUGUUUCGUUUAUUUUUAGUUUACUUGAGUUAGCCACCAACUUUUAAUCCUAGCAUUUUAUUGAAAUUGUUAUUAAAAAUCACUGUUUUAGCUGAACCAACUGGUUUAAUACAUCUUACCUGUUUUCUUUGUUUAACAUUUUCUUUCUUCUCCUUUACCGUGCAGUGGUUGCUGGCUAGUGGCGGAGGCUAGGCACUCUAGGUGGUCCCCCACCCCUUGUUUUGUUGUAGUGAUAAGGGCACUGGGACACGAUUUUCUGCACCUAUUUGCCGUGUGUUUGCUGUGAGUUCACGAGUGGUGGGUAAGUGCACUCCUGGGACACAUCCUCUGGUAGUUUGCCUCCCCCUUGCUAGCUUCCACUCACUCCCCUCCCCCUUUUUUGUUGAUAGUUUUAAAUAAUUUACACUGGAAGUGUGUUUACUAAAGUUAUUGUUAAAGAAUAAAUUGUAAUAAAUUUUCUUAUACAUUCUUCCAUAACUUGAACUUGCAAUCAUUUCCAGUUACUAAUCUUUU